UCCUUCUUGUGGUUGAUGAGUGGAUUCUAGUGCAUGUGAAAUAUUCUGUCAUGACUAGAUUGACACUCAUCCAUCAAAAGAAGAU
rfam:Zootermopsis nevadensis contig5048, whole genome shotgun sequence.